rnacentral:rRNA from 1 species
AGAGUUUGAUCCUGGCUCAGGAUGAACGCUAGCGGCAGGCUUAACACAUGCAAGUCGAGGGGCAGCAUAAUGGAUAGCAAUAUCUAUGGUGGCGACCGGCGCACGGGUGCGUAACGCGUAUGCAACCUACCUUUAACAGGGGGAUAACACUGAGAAAUUGGUACUAAUACCCCAUAAUAUCAUAGAAGGCAUCUUUUAUGGUUGAAAAUUCCGAUGGUUAGAGAUGGGCAUGCGUUGUAUUAGCUAGUUGGUGGGGUAACGGCUCACCAAGGCGACGAUACAUAGGGGGACUGAGAGGUUAACCCCCCACAUUGGUACUGAGACACGGACCAAACUCCUACGGGAGGCAGCAGUGAGGAAUAUUGGUCAAUGGACGCAAGUCUGAACCAGCCAUGCCGCGUGCAGGAUGACGGCUCUAUGAGUUGUAAACUGCUUUUGUACGAGGGUAAACGCAGAUACGUGUAUCUGUCUGAAAGUAUCGUACGAAUAAGGAUCGGCUAACUCCGUGCCAGCAGCCGCGGUAAUACGGAGGAUUCAAGCGUUAUCCGGAUUUAUUGGGUUUAAAGGGUGCGUAGGCGGUUUGAUAAGUUAGAGGUGAAAUUUCGGGGCUCAACCCUGAACGUGCCUCUAAUACUGUUGAGCUAGAGAGUAGUUGCGGUAGGCGGAAUGUAUGGUGUAGCGGUGAAAUGCUUAGAGAUCAUACAGAACACCGAUUGCGAAGGCAGCUUACCAAACUAUAUCUGACGUUGAGGCACGAAAGCGUGGGGAGCAAACAGGAUUAGAUACCCUGGUAGUCCACGCAGUAAACGAUGAUAACUCGUUGUCGGCGAUACACAGUCGGUGACUAAGCGAAAGCGAUAAGUUAUCCACCUGGGGAGUACGUUCGCAAGAAUGAAACUCAAAGGAAUUGACGGGGGCCCGCACAAGCGGAGGAACAU